ACGGAAGGCAGCAGUGGGGGAUAUUGCACAAUGGGCGGAAGCCUGAUGCAGCAACGCCGCGUGAGGGAAGAAGGUUUUCGGAUUGUAAACCUCUGUCCUUGGUGAAGAAGAAAGUGACGGUAACCGGGAUAGGAAGCCACGGCUAACUACGUGCCAGCAGCCGCGGUAAUACGUAGGUGGCGAGCGUUGUCCGGAUUUACUGGGUGUAAAGGGAGCGCAGGCGGGACAGCAAGUUGGAUGUGAAAUACCGGGGCUUAACUUCGGAGCUGCAUCCAAAACUGCCGUUCUUGAGUGAAGUAGGGGUAGGCGGAAUUCCGAGUGUAGCGGUGAAAUGCGUAGAUAUUCGGAGGAACACCGGUGGCGAAGGCGGCCUACGGGGCUUUAACUGACGCUGAGGCUCGAAAGUGUGGGGAGCAAACAGGAUUAGAUACCCUGGUA
rnacentral:rRNA from 1 species